UACAGAGGUCCCAAGCGUUGUUCGGAAUUACUGGGCGUAAAGGGCGCGUAGGCGGCCUUCUAAGUCGAACGUGAAAUCCCCGGGCUCAACCCGGGAACUGCGUCCGAUACUGGAAGGCUUGAAUCCGGGAGAGGGAUGCGGAAUUCCGAGGUGUAGCGGUGAAAUGCGUAGAUAUCUGGAGGAACACCGGUGGCGAAGGACGGCGAUCCUGGACCGGUAUUGACCGCGUGACGGCGCGGAAAGCCGGGGAGCAAAC
rnacentral:rRNA from 1 species